rnacentral:rRNA from 1 species
AGUGAACGCUGGCGGUAGGCCUAACACAUGCAAGUCGAACGGCAGCACAGUAAGAGCUUGCUCUUACGGGUGGCGAGUGGCGGACGGGUGAGGAAUACAUCGGAAUCUACUUUUUCGUGGGGGAUAACGUAGGGAAACUUACGCUACUACCUCAUACGAUCUACGGGUGAAAGCAGAGGAUAUUCGGACCUUGCGCGAUUGUAUGAGCCGAUGUCGGAUUAGCUAGUUGGCGGGGUAAGGGCCCACCAAGGCGACGAUACGUAGCAGGUCUGAGAGGAUGAUCGGCCACACUGGAACUGAGACACGGUCCAGACUCCUACGGGAGGCAGCAGUGGGGAAUAUUGGACAAUGGGCGCAAGCCUGAUCCAGCCAUACCGCGUGGGUGAAGAAGGCCUUCGGGUUGUAAAGCCCUUUUGUUGGGAAAGAAAAGAAGCAGGUUAAUACCCCGCUGUUCUGACGGUACCCAAAGAAUAAGCACCGGCUAACUUCGUG